GCUUGGGUGGCUCAGUUUGUUGAGCAUCUGACUUCAGCUCAGGUCAUGAUCUCACAGUUGGUGGGUUUGAGCCCUGCCUCAGGCU
rnacentral:tRNA from 1 species